GAGUAAUGUCUGGGAAACUGCCUGAUGGAGGGGGAUAACUACUGGAAACGGUGGCUAAUACCGCAUAACGUCGCAAGACCAAAGAGGGGGACCUUCGGGCCUCUUGCCAUCAGAUGUGCCCAGAUGGGAUUAGCUUGUUGGUGAGGUAACGGCUCACCAAGGCGACGAUCCCUAGCUGGUCUGAGAGGAUGACCAGCCACACUGGAACUGAGACACGGUCCAGACUCCUACGGGAGGCAGCAGUGGGGAAUAUUGCACAAUGGGCGCAAGCCUGAUGCAGCCAUGCCGCGUGUAUGAAGAAGGCCUUCGGGUUGUAAAGUACUUUCAGCGGGGAGGAAGGUGUUGUGGUUAAUAACCGCAGCAAUUGACGUUACCCGCAGAAGAAGCACCGGCUAACUCCGUGCCAGCAGCCGCGGUAAUACGGAGGGUGCAAGCGUUAAUCGGAAUUACUGGGCGUAAAGCGCACGCAGGCGGUCUGUCAAGUCGGAUGUGAAAUCCCCGGGCUCAACCUGGGAACUGCAUUCGAAACUGGCAGGCUUGAGUCUUGUAGAGGGGGGUAGAAUUCCAGGUGUAGCGGUGAAAUGCGUAGAGAUCUGGAGGAAUACCGGUGGCGAAGGCGGCCCCCUGGACAAAGACUGACGCUCAGGUGCGAAAGCGUGGGGAGCAAACAGGAUUAGAUACCCUGGUAGUCCACGCCGUAAACGAUGUCUACUUGGAGGUUGUGCCCUUGAGGCGUGGCUUCCGGAGCUAACGCGUUAAGUAGACCGCCUGGGGAGUACGGCCGCAAGGUUAAAACUCAAAUGAAUUGACGGGGGCCCGCACAAGCGGUGGAGCAUGUGGUUUAAUUCGAUGCAACGCGAAGAACCUUACCUGGUCUUGACAUCCACGGAAGUUUUCAGAGAUGAGAAUGUGCCUUCGGGAACCGUGAGACAGGUGCUGCAUGGCUGUCGUCAGCUCGUGUUGUGAAAUGUUGGGUUAAGUCCCGCAACGAGCGCAACCCUUAUCCUUUGUUGCCAGCGGUCCGGCCGGGAACUCAAAGGAGACUGCCAGUGAUAAACUGGAGGAAGGUGGGGAUGACGUCAAGUCAUCAUGGCCCUUACGACCAGGGCUACACACGUGCUACAAUGGCGCAUACAAAGAGAAGCGACCUCGCGAGAGCAAGCGGACCUCAUAAAGUGCGUCGUAGUCCGGAUUGGAGUCUGCAACUCGACUCCAUGAAGUCGGAAUCGCUAGUAAUCGUGGAUCAGAAUGCCACGGUGAAUACGUUCCCGGGCCUUGUACACACCGCCCGUCACACCAUGGGAGUGGGUUGCAAAAGAAGUAGGUAGCUUAACCUUCGGGAGGGCGCUUACCACUUUGUGAUUCAUGACUGGGGUGAAGUCGUAACAAGGUAACCGUAGGGGAACCUGC
rnacentral:rRNA from 2 species